rnacentral:RNase_P_RNA from 1 species
UGAGUCAGCCAGACAAUCGCUGUUUUGAUGGAGGAAAGUCCGGGCUCCAUAGGGUAAGGCGCCAGGUAACGCCUGGGGAGUGUGAACUCACGGCCAGUGCCACAGAAAAUAUACCGCCUGAUCGAAACAUUAGGUAAGGGUGAAAUGGUGUGGUAAGAGCGCACCGCGCGCUUGGUAACAAGUGUGGCAGGGUAAACCCCGCCUGGAGCAAAGCUAAAUAGGGAUCCUAUGAUGUGACCCGCAUCGGAUCCGGGUAAGCUGCUAGAGAUGUAUGGCGACAUGCGUCCCAGAUGAAUGAUUGUCCACGACAGAACCCGGCUUACCGGCUGACUCAUUCU